AAUUUUAUAAUGAAGGAAACAACUAUUAUAAAAUGGCGGUCUAAUUAAAAUAAAGAAACUCGCCUUCUAAUCGUAAAUACCCGUUACAAUCAAACUCUAAUCACAAGUUUAUAUACCGCCGUUACAGAACUGAAAGCAUAUUAAUUCAAAACUUAAAACAAACAAAAAUCAGGUCAAGGUGUAACCAAUAUUAGAGAAUUGGUAAGUUACAUUAAAGAUUAUUUAAGAAAAGAUAAUAAAAACAUUCCCGAAAAAGAAUUUAUUUGUAUAAACAAAGUUAGCAACUUGAAUAGAAAUAAUAAAUAUAGACGC
rnacentral:rRNA from 1 species